AUACCUCGUCAUCCAAACAUUUCUUAAGAAUCGUUCAAUGAUAAGUAAAAAAAAAAAAUAAAAAAAAUUAUAUUUAUAGUCAUAGAGUGUGCAAUCAUCACAUACUCAUUUUGAAAAAGAUUAAGUAAAUUAGGAUUUACAUGAAAAAUUAAUUUUUUAAUAGUGAAACUCAUUCGUUUUCAAUUACAUGUUAUUAGACUUUAGUAAAUUAUUAUAUAUGUUACUAACUUAUUAUACUAUAUUUAUUUAAAUAAUAGUGUCUAACUUAUUUUUAUACUUUUUUUUUUCUAAUCAAGCUUAAUAUAUAUAUAAUAAAAAAGGAUUACAAAAGUGGGGGUGGAUCCUUUCCACUGUCCAAAUACAAAAAGCAUUGAGGAAUAGAAAAAAGGGGUAGGUUACCAAACACAUGGUUUGUAGCUGCUCAUUGCGCCACCGAGUACGCACAUCAAUUCUGUGAUCGAUGGAUUUUGAUAAAUUUUCAAGCUGGAUGGUCUUCUGCAUAUGAUCUGAUGUCUUCUAUAAUUUCCAAGCUGGAUGGUCUUCGGCAUAUGAUCUGAUCUUAAUUACAUAUAGUAGUAAUAAUAUGAAGUUUUAUAUAAGAUGGACAAAACUCUUCUUGGACUAGCCUUGUUUGACUUAAGUCCUAUCCGUCUACCGAGUGAACCGCGUCGAGGGGAGUAUAUGUAGCUUCUAGGCUCACGUCCCCAAUCAGAAGAUCGAUACCCUCGAAUAGCAUCACUCGAGCGUCUAGGAUUGGAACCAGAGAUUUUGUUUCGUGUCAAGCUCAGGAUAGAAGUACCCCACGGGAGAAGAGGCCCACCAACAGUACCCGGCAGGCUAUUUGAGAGUUCCUCCCUUCCUCCUAGAGCCUCUACUAGCCAUCAUGUUUGCUUAGGUGAAGGCCCAUCUCUUGGAGUUGCACACCGACUAGGCCCUUUCCAAUGACAACAUACGGGACUACCUAUGCAUGCCCGAGGCUUCCCCUACCACUACUGGGGUUGGAGGUUAGGAGGAAGGGGAGGGGGCCCUCCCUGACGCUUCCCCUUCCAUCACCAAGGUUGGGGGACCAAGGGGUGUCGCUAGGUCAGCCUUUCCCAAUGUUAGGAGUGUUCCUUCCACGUCCUCUUCCAUCGAGCUGACUAGUAAGGGUUGUGGGAAAGGUUCUAGUGAUUCCCACACUGUUGUGGUGCUGAGUGACGAUGACGACUCUUGGGACUCCGAGAUAAGCUCCUUCUUUGCCACCCAUUGGGGGGGGGGAGGGGGGGCGUCCCCUCAGGCGUCAUUGUCAGGCGGCCCUAUUUAGUCUGAAGAGGUUCCUUUUGAAUAGGAGAAGGAAGCUGAAGUGGGGAUACCAAACUUCUCCUAGCAGUUGGGGGUUGCUGACCCUUCCUCUUCCAUCGGGGCUGAGGGGGGCCAAGCCCCUACCUUGGAUCUUGACAAGUUAUGGGCUACGACCACCGAAUGGGUGGCCUAAAGGCUGCAACCCUUCUUUGCCCAGGCUGCAAUGAUUGGCGAGGAGCUAGGGGACUUAGAGGAGGCCAAUCGAGAGCUCGGGACAUUGGGCCGCUACGGGUACUAUAAGCUGAAGCAGGCAGCCCAACAGAUCGAAGUUCUAUCCGCUGAGCCUAAAGAGCUGAUCGACGAGGUGGAGGAUAUGAGAAAAUGCAACCGGCGUUUGGUGGUAGAUGUCGAGAGGCUGCGAAUCAACUGGCUGCAAUGAUUGGCAAGGAGCUAGGGGAGCUAGAGGAGGCCAACCGAGAGCUCGGGACGUUGGGCCGCUUCGGGUACUAUAAGCUGAAGUAGGUGGCCCAACAGAACGAAGUUCUAUCCGCCAAGCUUAAAGAGCUGAUCGACGAGGUAGAGGAUAUGAGAAAACGCAACCGGCAUUUGGGGGAAGAUGCCAAGAGGCGCAAGCAGAAGAAAAAGUUGCUAAAUCAGGUGCUGGCUGAGGCCGAGGAGGGGCUCACCUGGUUGCAUUUAGAGGCGAAAUGCCUCGAGCAGGAUCGUGUUGAGGCCUAAGGAACUUAGUUGCCUGGGAAGCAUAGUUGGGGUUGACUCGGUAGAAGUUCCAAGAGCUCCGACAGGAUCAUAGAGUGCACAAUCACUACAUACUCAUUUUAAAAGAAAUUAACUAAAUUAGAAUCUACAUGAAAAAUUAAUGUUUUAAUAGUAGACCUUAUUUUUUUCCAAAGUAGCAAUGCUUACACAACUCAUAAUUGUAUCUAACAUUGUUAAAAAUAAUAUAAUGUUUUUCAGAUC